AUAUAAAGUAAAUAAAUAUAAAACUGUUUGUAUCAAAAGAACAUAACACACAGUAAAAUCAUACAAUCACCAGAGCAGUUGGGAUUAAAUUUACCAUGUUUAAGGUGGUACCUAACACUACAGAGAGAUAACUCUGUAAAAUCAGCAGAACUUUUUAAUGACGUUGUGUUCAUAUGGGAAUAUUAAGCUUCUCAAUGAUCAAAAUAAGUGUUUGUCAAACUGCUAUAUAACCAGUGUAAUUUUUCUGAUUAAACGGUUGGUUCAAUUUUUUUGAAAUUUUUAUAUUUUUGUCAAAGGGUCAAAGUAAAUAAUUUGUCAAAAUUUAAAGAAAAUUAAACGAGCCAAAUUAAUUUAAGUUAAAGUGUUAGGUACCACCUUAACUGGGUGUUUCAGCUUGAUACAGGAACGGUGUGAUAUUGAAAAAGACGUUAUGUAUACAAUAAAACACUCCAUAUAACUUUCCACUUAAUCAAGAAUAGCAUAUGACUUAUUCAAUAGCAUAGCUGUAUCAACUUAAUACACUAA
rnacentral:lncRNA from 1 species